rnacentral:rRNA from 1 species
CAGUCGCCGCGGUAAUACAGAGGGUGCAAGCGUUAAUCGGAAUUACUGGGCGUAAAGCGCACGCAGGCGGUUGGUUAAGUCAGAUGUGAAAUCCCCGAGCUUAACUUGGGAACUGCAUUUGAAACUGGCAAGCUAGAGUCUUGUAGAGGGGGGUAGAAUUCCAGGCGUAGCGGUGAAAUGCGUAGAGAUCUGGAGGAAUACCGGUGGCGAAGGCGGCCCCCUGGACAAAGACUGACGCUCAGGUGCGAAAGCGUGGGGAGCAAACAGGAUUAGAUACCCCUGUAGUCCCUGUCUCUUAUAC